CCCCGACCAGGGCCCAGGCUGGGGAGGGGCCUGCAGCCAAGGUUAAGCAGGAACAAGAUAAAAGGAAACAAUGUGGUAACUGUAAGUAUACUCCAGCAAGCAGUGGCUUUAAAAAUUGAGUGUGCCUAAAAAUCAUUGGUACAAAUCCCUGGAUCCCAUCCUUAGAGAUGCUGAUUCAUUUGGUCUGAAAUGGGACCCGAUAAUUUGCAUUUCAACCAAGCUUCCUGAUAAUGUGGAUGGUCUCGGUCUAUGGUCCACACUGAGGAACACUGUACCCCAGAGAACACCAGACUUAGGACUCACCUCGAAGAAAAUGUAGUUCAUGGGACAGAAGGGAAUUUUGUACAUUUGCUUCAUGUUUAUAGAAAAACUUAAGAACAAGAAUUCAAUAAAAUUGGAACGCAAAAGAGAAAA